CCAUGAGAAGGUGUUUGCUUUGGGGAGAAGGCUCAGCAGCUACACAGGGUCCUCACAUCAGCUGGUCGGAGAGGGGUAUCUUCACUCGCUGUUCCUUUUUCCUAUGCAUAUACCUCUUUGAGAUCUAGCUUUAAAGAGGCAUAGGGCAUGGGAAAAUGGGGCUGCAGAGGUAUUUCACUGACUAUCCCUGGUCAACCACCUCAGCCCAAAGUAAUCCCAGCUCCCCCCAUCUUUAACCUGGAGGACUCCCGAAAACCAGAUCACACCACUAGGAAUUCAGUGGAGCCUCCAUGUCAUAAUGACCUAAGAAAAAUCGAUUUUGCAGUGCCCUGAAACAAUCGAUCUGUCAGUUGUUCAGUAACUAAGUGUGUAAAAAAUCUAGAAUAAAAG
ensembl:lncRNA